rnacentral:lncRNA from 1 species
CUCUUCCUGCCGCGCUCCCUCAGAACUGGCUGAAGAACACUAGCUACUUCUCCAGCUGCGUGCCGCCAUGUUCCCUGUCAUGGGGAUAAAGGGACUAAAUCCCUCUGAAACGGUUCAUCUAUGAAGCAGCUGGCUCCAGAACCUUCUGCCUGCCUAAGGCCGAAUAAUGCUCUGCUUCUGAGUAUGCUGACUUGGGUUGUCUGUUUACCUCACUGCUGGCUGCUGGCUGCUGUCCCCCUGGGAGCUCCCUGCUUGGCUGCUGUGGCUAAUGCUGCCAGGAGGUCAGUUGUCCAAGAAUCUCUCUCUUCAGGCCCUUCUUCCAGUUCCUCAGGCGCCACAUCCAGAAGCAGGAGAAGAACCUUAGGAGCAGUGUCCACUCUGCUCACAGACCCUGUUCAUCAUGGCUCCAAUGACUCUCGAUUUCCAUCUCUGCUGUGUUUCUUAGCCAGCACGGGGCCUGCAACUACAUCUCCUAUCUGGAUGCUGUGUAAGGAGGAAGAAUGGACCCUUGCAAGGACACAGCUACCGCCCAGGGGUGCCUGGCGAGACAGAUUCUGCAAAUGUUUGUCAGCUCAGAGCCAGGUCUAGAAUGUGGCCUCUCUGGAGCUCGCUUGUUGGCUCCCCCAGAUGCAUCAUGGAAGGAGUUCCGCAUGCUCUGAGACAGUUUCUUCCCAGGAGGGGAUCAGCUUACUGGAGCAGCGCUGUUUUCUGUGGACCCUUGUCUAGUUGUGGCGGUUGCUGGGAAAGAUGAAGUCCCCAGACUGGAGCUCAGGCUGCAAAGAGGCUGGCAUGGCACCUGGAUACCGAGCCACUCCUUGACAAAAGCCCUCUCCAGCCUGCGUGGACCUCGCGUGAGAGAAGUCUAGGUGGCUGUGGGCAGCCCACAGGCUUCCGUUGCCGCUGCGUUACAGCUUGUCGUCUUAAUCUUGAAAUGAGACCUGGUUCACUUGAUCUCAUUAAUAAAAGGUCUGUGCUCCCCCUAGUCAUAAAAAC